rnacentral:rRNA from 1 species
AUUGAACGCUGGCGGCAUGCCUUACACAUGCAAGUCGAACGGCAGCACGGGUGCUUGCACCUGGUGGCGAGUGGCGAACGGGUGAGUAAUAUAUCGGAACGUACCUUAUUGUGGGGGAUAACGCAGCGAAAGCUGUGCUAAUACCGCAUAAUCCCUAAGGGGGAAAGCGGGGGACCGUAAGGCCUCGCGCAAUUAGAGCGGCCGAUACCUGAUUAGCUAGUUGGUGAGGUAAAGGCUCACCAAGGCAACGAUCAGUAGCUGGUCUGAGAGGACGAUCAGCCACACUGGGACUGAGACACGGCCCAGACUCCUACGGGAGGCAGCAGUGGGGAAUUUUGGACAAUGGGGGCAACCCUGAUCCAGCAAUGCCGCGUGAGUGAAGAAGGCCUUCAGGUUGUAAAGCUCUUUUGUCAGGGAAGAAACAGCAGCUCUAACACAGUAUGCGAAUGACGGAACCUGAAGAAUAAGCACCGGCUAACUACGUGCCAGCAGCCGCCGUAA